rnacentral:rRNA from 1 species
CUUGCUCUUAUGAAGUUAGCGGCGGACGGGUGAGUAACACGUGGGUAACCUGCCCAUAAGACUGGGAUAACUCCGGGAAACCGGGGCUAAUACCGGAUAACAUUUUGAACCGCAUGGUUCGAAAUUGAAAGGCGGCUUCGGCUGUCACUUAUGGAUGGACCCGCGUCGCAUUAGCUAGUUGGUGAGGUAACGGCUCACCAAGGCAACGAUGCGUAGCCGACCUGAGAGGGUGAUCGGCCACACUGGGACUGAGACACGGCCCAGACUCCUACGGGAGGCAGCAGUAGGGAAUCUUCCGCAAUGGACGAAAGUCUGACGGAGCAACGCCGCGUGAGUGAUGAAGGCUUUCGGGUCGUAAAACUCUGUUGUUAGGGAAGAACAAGUGCUAGUUGAAUAAGCUGGCACCUUGACGGUACCUAACCAGAAAGCCACGGCUAACUACGUGCCAGCAGCCGCGGUAAUACGUAGGUGGCAAGCGUUAUCCGGAAUUAUUGGGCGUAAAGCGCGCGCAGGUGGUUUCUUAAGUCUGAUGUGAAAGCCCACGGCUCAACCGUGGAGGGUCAUUGGAAACUGGGAGACUUGAGUGCAGAAGAGGAAAGUGGAAUUCCAUGUGUAGCGGUGAAAUGCGUAGAGAUAUGGAGGAACACCAGUGGCGAAGGCGACUUUCUGGUCUGUAACUGACACUGAGGCGCGAAAGCGUGGGGAGCAAACAGGAUUAGAUACCCCUGGUAGUCCACGCCGUAAACGAUGAGUGCUAAGUGUUAGAGGGUUUCCGC